rnacentral:rRNA from 1 species
UACAGAGGGGGCAAGCGUUGUUCGGAAUUACUGGGCGUAAAGGGCGCGUAGGCGGCCCGCUAAGUCGAACGUGAAAUCCCCGAGCUCAACUCGGGAACUGCGUCCGAUACUGGUGGGCUUGAAUCCGGGAGAGGGAUGUGGAAUUCCAGGUGUAGCGGUGAAAUGCGUAGAUAUCAGGAGGAAUACCGGUGGUGUAGACGGCUCUCUGGACCGUAACUGACGCUGAGACACGAAAGCGUGGGUAGCAAACAGG